rnacentral:rRNA from 1 species
CGCGUAGGCGGGUUUUUAAGUUGUGGGUGAAAUUCCGAGGCUCAACCUCGGAACUGCCUGCAAAACUGGGAGCCUUGAGGUAUGGAGAGGGAAGUGGAACUCCUGGUGUAGCGGUGAAAUGCGUAGAUAUCAGGAGGAACACCCGUGGCGAAGGCGGCUUCCUGGCCAUAUCCUGACGCUGAGGUGCGAAAGCCAGGGUAGCGAACG